rnacentral:rRNA from 1 species
UUCAAGAGUACGUGAAACCGUCCAGGGGUAAACCUGCGAAACUCGAAUGAACGAACGGAGAGAUUCAUCGUCAUUCCGCGGCGCAGUUGCGCGUGCGCGAUGUCCCCGGCCUCGGUCGGCGGGCACGCGUCGCGUUCUUCGCGUCCGCGGACGGCGUGCACUUCUCUCUUAGUAAUACAUCGCGACCCGUUCGAUGUCGGCCUAAGUGUCUCUCGGGAGUCUUCGCUCCUCGCGGAGUGGAGACCGUGGAGUUCACCGGCCGGCCGUCGGACGGUAGAUCUGACGAAACGCUCACGCGCUCGCGCGCGUCCGGCCCGACGCAAGGCACCUAGGCGCCGUAUCCCGCGUUCUGCCCGAGUGCGGACGUGGGUGCGGCGCGCCUGUCGUCGCAGCCGUGCCGUCUCGGACUGUGUGCGUAUCUGUCUGCGAUGAUUCAGUUUCGGGCACUCGCAGGACCCGUCU